rnacentral:rRNA from 1 species
UACGGAGGGUGCAAGCGUUAUCCGGAUUUACUGGGCGUAAAGGGCGCGUAGGCGGCCACCGCAAGUCGACUGUGAAAUCUCCGGGCUUAACCCGGAAGGUCAGCCGAUACUGCGGGCUAGAGUGCAGAAGGGGCAACUGGAAUUCUCGGUGUAGCGGUGAAAUGCGUAGAUAUCGAGAGGAACACCUGCGGCGAAGGCGGGUUGCUGGCUGACACUGACGCUGAGGCGCGAAAGCUAGGGGAGCGAACGGG